UUCACUCAAUCUGAUCGAUUAGGGUUGCAUUUUUUAAGAUCAAAUGACUGCAACUAGCAGCCUUAUGUGUGCAGUUCGGAUUUGAUCCAUCCUGGUUCUAUUAUAUGUAUCAGGACAUUGAAGAUUGGGUAAGUAGUAUUUUUCAAUUAUACCCUGUAUGUUCUUCUAAGAUCCGAUGGUAGUUGCAUCAGUUUAAUGUUUUUUAAAGAAGCUAUUUUUUGUUGUUGUCAUAUUAGACUACUUUCCGCGACUGAAUGAGGCAGUCAAGGUAGUUCACGGUGGCUCUGACCCCAUGGCCAGCCUCAGUCUCCAUGGACUAUGAUGAGAAAUUGUGAAUGCAAAAUUUGAAAUUAAACUGCAGAAUGAGUCAAAUAAUUGGGAGUGAAUAAGUGAUGUAUGUAUGAGAAUAAAAAGGUUUGAUCAUUUCAAAAACACAAAAUUAAUAGAUUUUUAGAGAACUAAUUACUGACUGUGUCUCUGUGUGUGGAA
rnacentral:lncRNA from 1 species